GCCCGCCUAGCUCAAUGGUUAGAGCGUGGGACUUUUACCUGUGCCUUGUUGCAAGGCAAGCGAAAAUCCCAAGGCUGCGAGUUCGAGUCUCGCGGUGGGCG